rnacentral:rRNA from 1 species
AGAGGGUGCAAACGUUGCUCGGAUUUACUGGGCGUAAAGCGCGUGUAGGCGGACUCGCGAGUCGGUUGUGAAAUCCCUGGGCUCAACCUAGGAACUGCAUCCGAAACUGCUUGUCUUGAGUAAUGGAGAGGGUGGCGGAAUUCCCGGUGUAGAGGUGAAAUUCGUAGAUAUCGGGAGGAACAUCAGUGGCGAAGGCGGCCACCUGGACAUUUACUGACGCUGAGACGCGAAAGCGUGGGGAGCAAACAGGGAUUAGAUACCCUGGUAGUCCACGCCGUAAACGAUGAGCACUAGGUGCAGCGGAUAUUGACCUCUGCUGUGCCGUAGCUAACGCGUUAAGUGCUCCGCCUGGGAGUACGGCCGCAAGGCUA